GUCCCCUGUAAGCAGGGAAGCUGACUCUUUGGCUGCUGCUUUUUGUGUGCCCAGCCCCAUUUGCCCAGUCUGCCCGCCUCUGUGAUCCCCCGCAGCACUGGCUGGAAGUCCGCCGCGUGUCAGUGAGGAGCUGCUGCAGAAGGAAGAAGAAGAAGCGGCGUGGGGACCUGGGAGGCAGGAGCAAGCAAGAAGAGGAAGCGGAAGCGUGCAGAUGCGGGGGGGAAGGAGAGAGGCUCCCUGGGCAAAGCACCUGUCCCGUUAGCAGGGGCACAGUCACGUUUGAGUUGAGAGCUGCCGGCGCCUUUGGUGACCAGGCUGGCGUUGUGCUGGGCGACCUCCCCGUAAGCGGGGCUCGGGUCUUUGCUGUAGUUGGCCUUUUGCCUUGCUGCUCCUUUGGCUGCCUGGGGAGCGUGGCCCCCUGUAACGGAGGGCGAGAGCCACCUCUCCGCACCUGAGUGGGAAAUGGAGCUCGCCGGACCCCAAGGCCACCCUGUAAGCAGGGUAGUGCCGUUUCCCUGCCCCUCUUCCUCCCCCGGCCCCUCGGCAUCGUUGCCUGAUGGUGGCUUGUCAACGCGACGGCCCCGUACUCGGGGUGUGCGUCACGGCUUUUGGCCGCUGGCUUUACCUGAG
ensembl:lncRNA